rnacentral:rRNA from 1 species
UACGUAGGUGGCAAGCGUUGUCCGGAUUUAUUGGGCGUAAACCGCUUGUAGGCGGCCACAUCGCGUCGUGCGUGAAAUCUCCCGGCUCACCUGGGAGGGGUCGUGCGAUACGGAUGGGCUCGAGGCCAGUAGGGGGACGCGGAAUUCCCGGUGUAGUGGUGGAAUGCGUAGAUAUCGGGAGGAACACCAGUGGCGCAGGCGGCGGCCUGGACCGGCACUGACGCUGAGGAACGAAAGCGUGGGGAGCGAGCCGG